AUUCAUGCUUUAAAUUUGCCUGAUUGUGACUAAUAACGUGUGAAAUGCAUUAUUUUUCAAGCCCAACGGCAUGUAUGUAAUCCACUGAACGCGCGUCGACCCUUUAUGACGUCACUGAGAAAUUACGUCGAACGUUUAUCCAUACAAACAUGUAUGACCUCUUGACCCCGUACCUGUAUUUAUACAGUAAUAAAAACGCUUGCUUUCAGUAGUGUUACAUAAAGGAAAACAUUUGCAAAUGUAAAUGUAAAAUUAUAAUUGAAUAAUAUUAUACUAUUUUAGUAUUAAGAUUUUUCAAUGUUUACCAAAGUUAAACAAAAUUAUUUUUUCUGUUCGCAAUUAAUACAUUUUAAAAGAUGGUUAAAUUUGUUAAUAUUCCAAUAUUCUACAUUUUUGUCGUUACAGGCAUAAUUUCUGCUUGCAGCAUGAUACUUAGUUCAGAAUAUAAGCAAAUAAACAUCAUUAAGGACUUUGUAAAAUCCUGCAAUGGACGAUUCAAUAUAGAAAAGGCAACAGAUGAAGAAGAAUUUUGCAGAAACACGCAGCAACUCCUUCAUUGUGUAAUUUCAUUGUCAACAUGGGGAAAUGAUUCAACCUGUCUUGUUAAGGACAAGCUUCGUUUGGUCAACACUUACUUCAAACACAACAAAUUCCUUGCUCCUUCAAUUUUUAAUUUGGAAACAUGUUUUACACGAUACCUGUCAGAGUUUCCAUUCUCAGGGGAAAGCUAUACUG